CAGUAGCCGCGGUAAGACGUAGGAUGCAAGCGUUGUCCGGAUUUAUUGGGCGUAAAGAGUUCGUAGGCGGUUUGUUAAGUCUGAUGUUAAAGAUCGGGGCUCAACCCUGGGAGUGCAUUGGAUACUGGCAGACUGGAGUGUGGUAGAGGCUAGUGGAAUUCCUAGUGUAGCGGUGAAAUGCGUAGAUAUUAGGAAGAACACCAGUGGCGUAGGCGACUAGCUGGGCCAUAACUGACGCUGAGGAACGAAAGCCAGGGGAGCGAAUGGGAUUAGAUACCCCAGUAGUCCCUGUCUCUUAUAC
rnacentral:rRNA from 1 species